rnacentral:tRNA from 1 species
GAGGGUGUAGCUCAGUGGUGGGGCGUUUGCUUAGCAUGCAUGAGGUCCUAGGUUCAAUCCCCAAGUACCUCUG